GAAAUGCGAUAAUUAAUGCGAAUUGCAGAAUUCAGUGAAUCAUCGAGUCUUUGAACGCACAUUGCGCCCCCUGGUAUUCCGGGGGGCAUGCCUGUCCGAGCGUCAUUGCUGCCCUCAAGCACGGCUUGUGUGUUGGGCUUCCGUCCCUGGCAACGGGGACGGGCCCAAAAGGCAGUGGCGGCACCAUGUCUGGUCCUCGAGCGUAUGGGGCUUUGUCACCCGCUCCCGUAGGUCCAGCUGGCAGCUAGCCUCGCAACCAAUCUUUUUAACCAGGUUGACCUCGGAUCAGGUAGGGAUACCCGCUGAACUUAAGC
rnacentral:misc_RNA from 1 species